AGAGGCCCUCUGUGGCCAGGGUGGAAUGCUUGCCUCGUAGCCGGAGCAAUAAAGCAAGCAUUCUGCCAGGCUGCUCACAUUGCCCGC
rfam:Myotis brandtii contig216452, whole genome shotgun sequence.